rnacentral:rRNA from 1 species
GACGAACGCUGGCGGCGUGCUUAACACAUGCAAGUCGAACGGAAAGGCCUGCUUUCCCUUGUGGAUUGCGGGUACUCGAGUGGCGAACGGGUGAGUAACACGUGAGUGAUCUGCCCCCAACUUGGGUAUAAGCCUGGGAAACUGGGUCUAAUUCCCGAUAGUACUGCAGGGUGGUGCCUGUGGUGGAAAACGAUUUUCUAGUGGUUGGGGAUGAGCUCGCGGCCUAUCAGCUUGUUGGUGGGGUAAUGGCCUACCAAGGCGGCGACGGGUAGCCGGCCUGAGGGGGUGGACGGCCACAUUGGGACUGAGAUACGGCCCAGACUCCUACGGGAGGCAGCAGUGGGGAAUAUUGCACAAUGGGCGGAAGCCUGAUGCAGCGACGCCGCGUGGGGGAUGACGGCCUUCGGGUUGUAAACUCCUUUCGACCGCGAGGAAGCCACCUGGUUGGAAGGGUGGUGACGGUAGUGGUAGAAGAAGCACCGGCUAACUACGUG